UACGAAGGGGGCUAGCGUUGCUCGGAAUUACUGGGCGUAAAGCGCACGUAGGCGGUUUCUUAAGUCGGUGGUGAAAUCCUGGAGCUCAACUCCAGAACUGCCUUCGAUACUGGGAAACUUGAGUUCGGGAGAGGUGAGUGGAACUGCGAGUGUAGAGGUGAAAUUCGUAGAUAUUCGCAAGAACACCAGUGGCGAAGGCGGCUCACUGGCCCGAUACUGACGCUGAGGCACGAAAGCGUGGGGAGCAAACAGG
rnacentral:rRNA from 1 species